AAUUUUGUAUUAAUUCUUUAAAUGUUUGAUAGAAUUCACCUGGAAAUCUAUCUGAGCUUUUCUUUGUGGUUAGUUUUUUGACUAUUGGUUCAACCCCUGUACUUGGUAUAGAUCUAUUCACACUUUCUCUUUCUUCAUGAGUCAGUUUGGUAAUUUUUAUCUUUUUCAGGAAUUUGUCCAUUUUAUCUAGAUUAAAUUUGUUGGCAUAGAGUCUGUUCAUAGCAUUUCUUAAUCCUUUUAUUUCUCUAAGAUCUGUAGUAAUGCCUCCUCUUUCAUUUCAAUUUUAGCAAUUUGAGUCUUCUCUUUUUUCUUGGCCAUCCUUAAAAAUGGUUAAAAUGGCAAGUUUCAGGUUUCACCAACAAUAAAAAAGUAACUGCAAGUAAAAGUAAUUUAGAUCCAUCUAUGCUGUUAGUUUUUUCUGCGCCCUGUACGGUAUUUUAUUCAUGUAUCACAGUUUAUUCGUUCACUCUGGAUGGCCAUCUGGAUUGGCCAGUUUUGGGGCUAUUAAUGAAGAGUUCUACUGGAAACUGCUUUGGUUUUUAAAUUCCCCAGAGUUUCUUUGACUCCAAUGCAUCUAUCAUAAGUCAAUUUUUCUUUAAAAAUUCCUUUACGAACAUUUUUUUAGUUACUUUUUGGUAACCUUGAACUCUACUAGUUUGUGGAGGGUGGUCAUGGAUGUUCCAAGUUACAGUUCUUUGUGAUUUAGGAUUGCCCCUGGUGCCAAGUAUUAAAAAUCUCAGAACAUAAAUCACAAAACUUAUAUUAGGCCAGUGCUAUUAUUAUUUGAAAUCGUUUUAAAAUUAUAAAAAUAACAUGUGUUCAUGAUUUAAUAAAUUGAAACAGUGCAGAAUGGUAUGCCAUAGAAAGUAAAAGUCUUUCUCCUAAUUUAUAGAAGUUUUUAAGAUUUACUUUUAAAUUUUAGAGCAUAUUUUAGACUUCCCACUAAAAUUGAAUAUUGAUUUGAAAGGAUUUUUAAUAUCAGAAUAUAUUUCUAUUCAUAGUUUUAAAAUUUUCAUGAGAAAUUAAUGUUGAAAUAUGGUAAUUACAUAUAUCAAGAGGGUUGUGAGUUUUGUCUUAGAUAGGCUUAGUUUUUAUUGUUUAUAUUAAUCUAUAUAACGCUAGUGAAUCAUUCAUGCAUUCCCAGGAUGGAGUAAAGUACACUUAGCCAUGGCGUUGUUUUUUUUUUCCCAUAACUGCACAGCCGAACCUGUCGUGCUCAUGUUUUAUUAGUUUUAAAUUUAUAUUCCCAACUGUAAGGGGGGGAAUCUGUAGUUAGUGGACUCGUGUAUAAAAUAACUUAAUUGCUUUCAUUUUCUUUUGUCUGUGACCUCAUUUUUAAAUGAAUUUUCACUAAAGAGUUAAUUAGGGGAAUUACCAGUUUUAUGUUGUCAAAGCUUAUGGCAUUUAUGUCCUGUUCUGUGACUAUAAUGAAGCCUUCCUUGUUUUGUCUAAGUUGGUUCUAAGAAUUGGAAGCUAAUAAAUGGCAUUUACAGUACAGGCAUACCUUAUUUUAUUGCACUUCACUUUAUUACGCUUCACAGAUACUGCAUUUUUUACAAAUUGAAGGUUCGUGGCAGCCCUGUGUCAAAACUAGUCCGUCAGCACCAUUUUGUUACAGCAAUUUGCUCACUUCAUGCCUCUGUCACAUUUUGCUAAUUCCUGCAGUAUUUCAAACUUUUUCAUGAUUAUUGUAUUUGAGUUACUGCAGUUGCAUGGUAAAACUUUAAUGGAUGAGGAGUUGCUUCUGAUGGGUGAGCAAAGAACGUGGAACGUGGACUCUUGAGAUGGAAUCUGUUGCUGGUGGAGAUGCCACGAAGAUUGUUGACAUGACAACAGAGGACGUAGCCGAUCACAUAAACUUAGCUUGAUGACGCGGCUGCAGGGUUUGAGAGGCCGGGCUCCCAUUUUCAAAGAAGUUCUCCUGUGGGCCAAAUGCUAUCAGAGACCAUCGCAGGCUACAGAGAAGUUGUUCGUGACCGAGAGUCCAUCCCUGUGGCAGACUUCAUUGUUGUCUUGUUUUCAGAAGUCCCCACGGCCUCCCCAGCCUCCACCCAUCGCCUGCCAGGUCAGCAGCCAGUACCAUCGAGGCAGGCCCUCCACCAGCAAAAAGUUGACUGACUGAGAGCUCAGAUGACGAACGAUACUGGCUACCAGUGACUGUUCGUGCCGCAGAAGAUGUACUGACCAUGAAAGCAGGAGCAGCUGUUACCUUACCGUGCGGAAGGAAAGCCAGACUUCUCUGAUUUGCAGCAGUGGCACACACAGAAAAUCUGAUAAUAUACUCCGCCUGGAGGAUUCUGUUAAGAACACUAAGAAAAAUAAGGGGAGUUCUCUUUUCCUCUCAUUUUAAAAUUGGAAAAUUUGUUCUGAGAAAUAUGAAUAAUCAUAUAUGUGAGAAAUAAAGACAAAAAGAGAAUAAAAAUACCAGCCAUUUAUAUGAA